rnacentral:rRNA from 1 species
AGAGUUUGAUCAUGGCUCAGGAUGAACGCUAGCGGCAGGCUUAACACAUGCAAGUCGAGGGGUAUAGGUUUUCGGACCUAGAGACCGGCGCACGGGUGCGUAACGCGUAUGCAAUCUACCUUUUACAGAGGGAUAGCCCAGAGAAAUUUGGAUUAAUACCUCAUAGUAUUAUUGAAUGGCAUCAUUUAAUAAUUAAAGUCACAACGGUAAAAGAUGAGCAUGCGUCCCAUUAGCUUGUUGGUAAGGUAACGGCUUACCAAGGCAACGAUGGGUAGGGGUCCUGAGAGGGAGAUCCCCCACACUGGUACUGAGACACGGACCAGACUCCUACGGGAGGCAGCAGUGAGGAAUAUUGGUCAAUGGGCGCAAGCCUGAACCAGCCAUGCCGCGUGCAGGAUGACGGUCCUAUGGAUUGUAAACUGCUUUUGUACAGGAAGAAACAGUUCUACGUGUAGAACCUUGACGGUACUGUAAGAAUAAGGAUCGGCUAACUCCGUGCCAGCAGCCGCGGUAAUACGGAGGAUCCAAGCGUUAUCCGGAAUCAUUGGGUUUAAAGGGUCCGUAGGCGGUUUUGUAAGUCAGUGGUGAAAGCCCAUCGCUCAACGGUGGAACGGCCAUUGAUACUGCAAGACUUGAAUUAUUGGGAAGUAACUAGAAUAUGUAGUGUAGCGGUGAAAUGCUUAGAGAUUACAUGGAAUACCAAUUGCGAAGGCAGGUUACUACCAAUAUAUUGACGCUGAUGGACGAAAGCGUGGGGAGCGAACAGGAUUAGAUACCCUAGUAGUCC